rnacentral:rRNA from 1 species
AACGUAGGAGACAACCGUUAUCCGGAGUUACUGGGCGUAAAGGGCGUGUAGGCGGUUUGUUAAGUCUGGCGUGAAAGCUCUCGGCUAAACCGGGAGAGGUCGUUGGAUACUGGCAAACUAGAGGAUGGUAGAGGCGUGUGGAAUUCCGGGUGUAGUGGUGAAAUGCGUAGAGAUCCGGAGGAACACCAGUGGCGAAGGCGACACGCUGGGCCAUACCUGACGCUAAAGCGCGACAGCAUGGGGAGCAAACGGG